rnacentral:rRNA from 1 species
GAUCCUGGCUCAGGACGAACGCUGGCGGCGUGCUUAACACAUGCAAGUCGAACGGAGCGAAUGAAAGCUUGCUUUUAUGAGCUUAGUGGCAAACGGGUGAGUAACACGUAGACAACCUGCCGACAGGAUGGGGACAACAUUCCGAAAGGAAUGCUAAUACCGAAUGAAGUCAGAGGAGGGCAUCCUCCUCUGAUGAAAGAUGGCCUCUGAAUAUGCUAUCACCUGUUG